rnacentral:lncRNA from 1 species
CCUGAGAUGCCCUGACACGUCUAACUUUAGAUUGUAAUUAAAAUAAAAACCUAUUAGAUAGUUUUAAAAAAGAGAGCUAAUGAUAAAAGAGACCAUUAUUAUAUUUCAGAAUACAUAAAUGUUCAAGUGAUAAUUUAAGUCACUUCUUUACGGCCUAUCACUGGAGUUGAACUAAAUUACAAAAACUGCCACGGCAGCCCUCUCUCCCUCCCGUUACCCAAGCCCGUCUGAACCCUCAUCCAUUCGGACUCGGACCAUUAACAGUUUCUCUCUCUCUGAUUAAAGCCAGCCAUGUCCGUCGGAAUCAUCACGCUGGAAAUGUUGUCCGCGCUCGCGUUUUUUCUCUAUUGCCACCGAGUCAAGCACCAAUCGGAGACGCAAAAACUCGUCAAUGGCGGAGGGAGCAGCUCGUAGUGGUUCGCCGACAAUUCCAGAGCGGCGCCUUCGACCUUCCUCUAUAUCGGCACCUUAGAGCAGAGCCACAACUCCACGAGUAGCAAUGCCAUGAGCCGAGUACUGAAAGCUCAACAGAUCGGAUUCGGGUCCUGAGUUGCAGCCACUUUUGACAAUUGCGAAGCCGCCGCCGCCGCCUCGGAACCUCGAUUGGCCGCCGAUGACGUCUUGAUUUCCUCCUAUCCACCG